CUUUCUCAUUGCCAAGUGGUAUUCCAUUGUAUGUAAAGCCUUGGAUUGUGUGUAACCUGUUCUGUGAGUGUUCCACAAGAUGAGUAAACAUUUCUAAUAAAUUUUAACUUGAUAAACGAGUGAUGUCUUGUAAUAUGAGUAGUCUGUGAUGCCAAAUGUCACAUGAUCACAAAUGAGCCAAUGGUUCUCUCUCUCUUGCUGGGGGAUUGUGGGUGACCAUCUCCCAUGCUCAGAUGCUGGGUCUCAGGCUGCUGUGUUUGGCAGAGAUCAGUGAUUUUUGCAGAACAUCAGAAAGUACCCACGACA